GGUGAGUAACGCGUGAGAAUCUGGCUCCAGGUCGGGGAUAACAGUUGGAAACGACUGCUAAUACCGGAUGUGCCGAGAGGUGAAAGAUUUAUUGCCUGGAGAUGAGCUCGCGUCUGAUUAGCUAGUUGGUGGUGUAAGGGACCACCAAGGCGUCGAUCAGUAGCUGGUCUGAGAGGAUGAUCAGCCACACUGGGACUGAGACACGGCCCAGACUCCUACGGGAGGCAGCAGUGGGGAAUUUUCCGCAAUGGGCGAAAGCCUGACGGAGCAAUACCGCGUGAGGGAGGAAGGCUCUUGGGUCGUAAACCUCUUUUCUCAAGGAAGAAGAAAGUGACGGUACUUGAGGAAUAAGCAUCGGCUAACUCCGUGCCAGCAGCCGCGGUAAUACGGAGGAUGCAAGCGUUAUCCGGAAUGAUUGGGCGUAAAGGGUCUGCAGGUGGAACUGAAAGUCUGCUGUUAAAGAGUUUGGCUUAACCAAAUAAAAGCGGUGGAAACUACAGAACUAGAGUGCGGUAGGGGCAAAAGGAAUUCCUGGUGUAGCGGUGAAAUGCGUAGAUAUCAGGAAGAACACCGGUGGCGAAAGCGUUUUGCUAGACCGUAACUGACACUGAGGGACGAAAGCUAGGGGAGCGAAUGGGAUUAGAUACCCCAGUAGUCCUAGCCGUAAACGAUGGAUACUAGGCGUGGCUUGUAUCGACCCGAGCCGUGCCGGAGCUAACGCGUUAAGUAUCCCGCCUGGGGAGUACGCACGCAAGUGUGAAACUCAAAGGAAUUGACGGGGGCCCGCACAAGCGGUGGAGUAUGUGGUUUAAUUCGAUGCAACGCGAAGAACCUUACCAAGACUUGACAUCCUGCGAAUCCUGGUGAAAGCUGGGAGUGCCUUAGGGAGCGCAGAGACAGGUGGUGCAUGGCUGUCGUCAGCUCGUGUCGUGAGAUGUUGGGUUAAGUCCCGCAACGAGCGCAACCCUCGUUUUUAGUUGCCAGCAUUAAGUUGGGCACUCUAGAGAGACUGCCGGUGACAAACCGGAGGAAGGUGAGGAUGACGUCAAGUCAGCAUGCCCCUUACGUCUUGGGCUACACACGUACUACAAUGCUACGGACAGAGGGCAGCGAGCCAGGGAUGGCAAGCGAAUCCAGAAACCGUAGCUCAGUUCAGAUCGAAGGCUGCAACUCGCCUUCGUGAAGGAGGAAUCGCUAGUAAUUGCAGGUCAGCAUACUGCAGUGAAUUCGUUCCCGGGCCUUGUACACACCGCCCGUCACACCAUGGAAGUUGGUCACGCCCGAAGUCAUUACCCCAACCGAAAGGAGGGGGAUGCCUAAGGUAGGACUGGUGACUGGGGUGAAGUCGUAACAAGGU
rnacentral:rRNA from 1 species